rnacentral:rRNA from 1 species
GAUGAACGCUGGCGGCGUGCCUAAUACAUGCAAGUCGAACGCUUGACGUCGGUGUAGAGUUGCGUACGGGUGAGUACUACAUAAGAAACCUUGCAUCUACAGGGGGUUAACUGAUGGAAAGGCCAGCUAAGACCGCUAAUGCGUAGAGAUCGCUGGGACUGUAAAUGAAAAGUGCUACGAGAUUGGGAUAUGAUGUACUUAUGGCGCAUUAGCUUGUUGGUGGGGUAACGGCCUACCAAGGCGACGAUGCGUAGCCGGCCUGAGAGGGUGACCGGCCACACUGGGACUGAGACACGGUCCAGACUCCUACGGGAGGCAGCAGUAGGGAAUUUUCGGCAAUGGGGGAAACCCUGACCGAGCAACGCCGCGUGAAGGAAGAAGUAAUUCGGUAUGUAAACUUCUGUCAUAGGGGAAGAACGGUGGUUAUAGGGAAUGAUGUCCAAGUGACGGUACUCUAUAAGAAAGCCACGGCUAACUACGUG